rnacentral:tRNA from 1 species
GCCCUUGUGGCAUAGUAGUUAUGUGCUCGGCUGCUAAGCAAAAGGUUGGAGGUUCGAGCCCACCCAGAGGCA